GAUGAACGCUGGCGGCGUGUCUAAUACAUGCCAGUCGAGCGAACGGACGAGAAGCUUGCUUCUCUGAUGUUAGCGGCGGACGGGUGAGUAACACGUGGAUAACCUACCUAUAAGACUGGGAUAACUUCGGGAAACCGGAGCUAAUACCGGAUAAUAUUUUGAACCGCAUGGUUCAAAAGUGGAAGACGGUCUUGCUGUCACUUAUAGAUGGAUCCGCGCUGCAUUAGCUAGUUGGUAAGGUAACGGCUUACCAAGGCAACGAUGCAUAGCCGACCUGAGAGGGUGAUCGGCCACACUGGAACUGAGACACGGUCCAGACUCCUACGGGAGGCAGCAGUAGGGAAUCUUCCGCAAUGGGCGAAAGCCUGACGGAGCAACGCCGCGUGAGUGAUGAAGGUCUUCGGAUCGUAAAACUCUGUUAUUAGGGAAGAACAUAUGUGUAAGUAACUGUGCACAUCUUGACGGUACCUAAUCAGAAAGCCACGGCUAACUACGUG
rnacentral:rRNA from 1 species